rnacentral:rRNA from 1 species
GACGAACGCUGGCGGUGUGCCUAAUACAUGCAAGUCGAGCGAAGUUUUUCUGGUGCUUGCACUAGAAAAACUUAGCGGCGAACGGGUGAGUAACACGUAAAGAACCUGCCUCAUAGACUGGGACAACUAUUGGAAACGAUAGCUAAUACCGGAUAACAGCAUUAACUGCAUGGUUGAUGUUUAAAAGUUGGUUAUGCUAACACUAUGUGAUGGCUUUGCGGUGCAUUAGCUAGUUGGUGGGGUAAAGGCCUACCAAGGCGACGAUGCAUAGCCGACCUGAGAGGGUGAUCGGCCACACUGGGACUGAGACACGGCCCAGACUCCUACGGGAGGCAGCAGUAGGGAAUCUUCCGCAAUGGGCGAAAGCCUGACGGAGCAACGCCGCGUGAGUGAAGAAGGAUUUCGGUUCGUAAAGCUCUGUUGUUAGGGAAGAAUGAUUGUGUAGUAACUA